CGAGGCUAAGGUCCCAGAAGCCUGGGGGAGACCCAGGAGCCAUUUCCCAGGACGUAGCGGGGGCUUCCGGGCAGCCUGAGGAGGAGGGAAACGGAGCUUGUGUGGGUUCAGCAGGAACAGGCAGCCCGUGUCCCCCCUUGGGUCCAGCCUUCUGAGAGUCCCGCCUGCCAAGGCCCUCACCUCCCAGGGAAAGCACUUCACUUCAGUGCAGCUCCUUGCUGCGACAGCCAAGAGCCCCCAGAACAGCUCCGAGGAGGUCGCAGGACAUAAGAAGCCCCAAGGUUGUUUCUGGGGGCCAUGGGGGAGGAGAGCCCUGGGGCACCCCACAAAGAGGAGGAGGCAGAAGUGGGCAGGGAAGGGGAGGCUGUGGAGUCGCGGAUCCCACCCGCAAGCAAGGGCUCUGCGCGCUGUUUUCUGUGUCUCUCCAUCUGCCUCUGUCUACCCCAACAGGGAGGAUGUGUUUAUUUAAAGAUGCCGCUACUCACAGCAGAAGUGUCUGUUUCAAAGCAGAAAUAUGAUCCUGUUUGGGUUGGAGGAGGGAGUCAUUCCAUGAGGAAAAUAUUUCUUCUUUACAAAAAGAGGGCCCUGGAGCGUGGAGAGGGCAGGAGGGCGGACACCACGGGGCAGCUGAGAACUGGAAGCGGGGAUUCUGGGCUCUGGGGCUAGGACCCCGGCCCAGGCUCUUCCCUGAUAGCCCUGGUGACUCAACGCGUGGGUCUUUUGUCCUUCACGGAUAGGAACCGGCGUGUUUGGGCUUCUUAGUUUCCUGUGGCUGCCGAAAUUCAUUCCAUCACAAUUCUGGAGGCCAGAAGUUCAAAAUCAACAUGUGGGCAGAGCCACGCACCCUCCAUGGGUUCUAGCGGAAGAUCCUUCCCUGCCUCGUCCAUCUCUUCCAGCUCCUGGUGGCCCUUGGCUUGUGGCUGUGCCACUCCAGUCUCCGUCUUCACGUCCGUCCCCCUCGUGCCCGUGACUCUGGGUCCCAAUUUCCCCUCCUGUCAGGUGUCUCUGUGACAGGACCCCUGUCACACAGGGAUUAGGCCCACCUUGCUCAAGUAUGACCUCAUCUUAACUUGAUGACUUCUGCACAGACUCUAUUUUCAAAUGAGAUCACGGCAGGUGCCAGCGCUUAGGACCUGGACAUACCAUCUUGGGGGCACAAUUCAACCCAUAAUACCCUCCUUCUUAAAAAGAAAGUGAAAGUGGAGGCCGACCUUGAAACGCCAAGGCCUUCCUCCUGCGGGGGCGGGGUGGGAGAGGGGCCUGGCCACCCGCUGAGCCCCGCUCUCAGGCAGCAUCUCUGGUGGUAGGAGGGGCCCUGGGGGGCAGCACAGGCAACAAAACCCAGGAUGCCCUAGAGGCCCGUCACUGCCCAGGGGGCUCUGAGGUCCGGCUGCAGCAUCAGGGUCUGACCCGCUCGGACAUUUACCGCCUCUGUGAUCUGGACUGAAGGCUUCAACCUUUAGUUCUCCCUCUGUGAAGUGCGCUGACAGAGAGGCCUUGGUGAGGUCACCGGGACAGCUUGCCCGUGCCCAGCGAGGGAAGGAGGAAGAUGGGGCCGGCCACUCCGCUCAGCUGCAGGACGACACCCUUAUGUACUUCCCAGCUAACCUGAGACCUCAGUUUCCCCAUCUGCACCCCUGUGAGGACAAAAUCUCUGCUUUGCUCCCCACCUUACCCACGCAUGAGGCCUCACCCUUUGACACAGCAAGAUGAGCCCCAGGAACGGGAGGUGGGAGAAGGCAGCCUAGCCAGCCUCUACAUCCAGAGGCCCACACCCCCAGCCUUGCGUCUGGGGAACGUCCCAGAGUCCAACCAUCUCCCAUCUGAGGGGCUUGGGGUCCUGCAGCUGCAGACGACUGCACCCUCAGGGCCGACACCCACCCUGGACGGGCAGACAUGCACCCCUGCUUACGCCAACUGCUCUGUCUGGGUGCCAGGCAGGGACAAUUCAGCCCUAUCACGGGAGCACUGCCGGGGGCUCCCACCCACCUCUGGUCCUCCGGCCACGUGUGCCUCAGUUUCCUGACCCAUAAAGCAGGGAGGCUGCGAUGACAACCUCAGGGGGGAACAUCCCCAGGGGCCUGGGCACAGUGGCGUUCAGGACAUAAACCACUGUGGCCAAAGCCUCUGGGACAGGCCUCUGAGCAUAUGCAAUCAGGAGAGUGGGGAGAAGCCAGUCGCUGGGUCCAGGAAGCAGAAGGGAGGGUGCUGAGGGCACCUGCUGUGGGUGCUUCCUUGGGGUAGAAACGAGACCAGAAGCCCCUAGGGAUGAGAGCCUGGCCACGGCAGGGACCCUGGAAUACAGAUGGAUCCCACAUGCAGAGCGCGUCCCCGGGAGACCCCAGACCUGGACGGUCAGCAAGGCCUGGGCUCCUGCUCCCGGAAACUGCCCGGUGUGGGGGCCAGAGGGUGACCCCACAGCACUGUGGCCCAGAACACGCGAAGGCAAGCUUCACCCGACUCGGACCACUGCUACCGACCGUGGCCAGCCCACAUCACUGGAGCCCGGGCUCUUUCCCCCGACUGGGGGCAUUGCCGGGGUGUGUGCUGGGGUGCGCCCCCGUCCCCCACAGGACCUGGCCGUCCACUCCACUCACCAAGGGCAGCUCCAGCCACCCCCUGCAAGCUCUGCUGGACCCUCCCGCUCCCUCACCCAUUGCUGUAACCUUCCCGCCAUCCUUGGUGCCAACCCUACACCUGGGAGCCACAAACGCCUCUUGGAUCCCAAGCCUCCAGGCAGGGUGGUUCUGAGCGGGGUAGCAUCUCCCAAGCCCUGGCCAGCCCCGAACCCCCUGCACCACCCCAGCAGGGCCCGGGGAGCUGUGGUGCUCUGAAUUCUGAGUGGCCGAUGGCGCAUCAUGCCGGUGAGAGGUAAUAAUCACUGCCUGACUCAGACACGCAGACUGCUGGGCUGUCAUGCCUAUUUCAGGAAAAUUAAUUAUACCCCAUGCCGAGAGGGAACUCGCCCAUUUAACGUCUUCAACGCACCUGCCCAGAAUGCCAUGGCACAGCCUGCCUGCACCCCUGGGCAUGGGAAAGGGUGGGCAGAGCCCCCAGUUUCUCCAGGUGUCAGGCGGGCUUGCAGGGUGGUGGCCAGCAGGGCUCCAGGCCCUUCUAGCCAGGCCCGACCCCGUCACCACUGAUACUGGAAACUGCAACCUUUGCCCAGGGAGUCCCCUUUGAAAGCCAAGCCUUUGAUCCAGCUGAGUGCCAGAAAAGGCCUUGGGCCGGCCCUGGGGCUGGCCCGAGGACCUGGCUCAGGGACCUGGCUGGCCCUACUGUGGCAUUAGAAAGCUCCGCACCAGUAAGCCGACCGUUGCCCACAUGGGAAGGCUGCCCUAUGCCCUCUGGACAGCUGGCCCUGCUGGCAAGCCCGUUUCCUUCUCCUACUUGCUCUAUGGGGCCUGCUAAGAUGGACAGCAGGCACGUCCAGGACCAGGGGCUGGGAGCUGGGCUUAGCUGCCCUGGGCUGAAAUUCAGCCCAGGCCUCUGGGCCCCGAGCUUUACCUUUCCCUGGCAAGAGUUGAUGUACACGUUGGCGUAACCAGGCUGCACACAUCCCAGGACAAGCUUCCCAACUGUGACUAGCCAUGGCUCACGUUUGCCUGGGUUCCCCCACCAGGCUCGCCCCAGGCCUGCCCUUGCUAUGUCCUCAGACACCCGGGGGCAGGCACAGCUGUCACCCUCCUGGCAGCUGGAAAAGAAGGGCUUGAGCAGUUCUACAGCUCAGCGAGGCUGCAGGGCUUUGCAGGGAAGAGCCGCCAGGUGCCAGACGUCACGCGUGGCAAGGCAAAUCCUACAGCCGGAACUGGCUGGCUCCGGUGCAGGCUUGGGACUUGUAGGCACACAGAUCCACCCCGUCCUAGAGAAGCUGUCAUUGCCACAUCUACCAAUUGAGGCUGUUGCAUUUGUUAGUAGUUUUCAAAUGUGUUUUGUCAUUGUUAUCAUAAAAAUAAAUUUUAUAAGAACACCA